UACGGAGGGGACUAGCGUUGUUCGGAAUUACUGGGCGUAAAGCGCACGUAGGCGGAUUUGUAAGUCAGGGGUGAAAUCCCGGGGCUCAACCUCGGAACUGCCUUUGAUACUGCAAAUCUCGAGUCCGGAAGAGGUGAGUGGAAUUCCUAGUGUAGAGGUGAAAUUCGUAGAUAUUAGGAAGAACACCAGUGGCGAAGGCGGCUCACUGGCCCGAUACUGACGCUGAGGCGCGAAAGCGUGGGGAGCAAACAGG
rnacentral:rRNA from 1 species